CGGGGGAGGGGCUACCUACCAGGCCAGGGCUCGCUGGCUGUCACGGGUGGCCGCUCGGGUCCGGAACGCCGGGGCCCCAACAGCUGAACCGACGGGGCUCGAGCAGGGGGUUUCAGUUACAGGUUGCGAGGCGCUCCGCGAAGCUGCGCAUGCGCGCGCCGCCCCGCCGGGUCCUCUAAGAUAGAGACGCAGGGCUCACCGCGGGGUGUGCUCGCCUCCCCCACGGACGCGUGCAUGUCCUGCCUAGAUUCGCGGGCUUCGUGCUUUGGCCUCGUCUGGUGGGCUGGAAAUACUCCCAAACUGGAUCGUGGUGAUGACUCUGCUGUGAAUUUACUAAAAGUCGUUGUACCCUCAGAACCGGUGGAUUUUACAGCAUGUAAAUGAUACCUAAAUAAAGUUGUUUAAAGAUA